rnacentral:lncRNA from 1 species
AUGAACAGGAGCAAGAAGUUAAACGAUAAUUUCCUGAAGUUACUAAACCACGCCUUAAACUAUAAGAGAGCAGGUUUAAAAUAUUAAAUGGAAAGCAAAACAUGGCUCAAGUAUGUUAGACCCCAAAAUCUUAACUAAUAUGCAUUUGGACCAUGGCCAUGAAAGGAACAUCCACAACCAGACAGUUUCAGCUAAUCAACUAAGUGUCAUAGUCCUUAAUUAACACACAUUAAAAGCCUAAAUAGCCUUGAAUCAACUACAUUUAAAGAAGCUCAAAUGUAAGCCUCAAAACAGAAAUGAAACGCAUAUAAGAAGCUAACUAAAACAUGAAGAACAACAUGGAAAAAUUAAACACAACAAGGACUGAUAUUUUUAUUUAAUCCCAACACGCUCACAAUUCUUUAUACAAAGAUUAAUCAGGCUUCAUUUCCUUCAUGGUUCAAGAGGAUGCCUGGAAAAACAACAAAAAUAAGAAGAGUGAAUUAUCAGCAACAACAUAACAGUGUCAGCAACAAUGCAACAGCGAUAACCAGCUGGAACAAACCCAAGCUUCAAACCAAUUCCAAGAAACUCAAAUCAAACUUCUAAACCCAAAUUCAAUCCAUUUCCGCCCAGAAUACAAAAGUAUGAAGUUUACAGUUCUAUUAGGAUUAGAAGAACCAAAACCCAAGUAGAAUUUCAAUAGUUUGUCAGAGAACUCCAGAAAUGCUAAGUUAUUUCAGAAUUUCUUCAAGGAAGCAAGUCGUUUCAAUUUUUGGAUGGUUUCUUUUCUCUCAAAAUCUAACUUGAAUAUAAAGUAAUGGUGCCUUUAUAGGCAAGCUAUUAAGGCAGCCUAAAAGAAAUCAGAUUUGCACUUUGCACCAUUUGAUAUUAUUAUUUUAUCUUAGGUACCAUUAAUGUAAAAUUCAGAAUUUUAAUUUACUCCCCACCCCAGCUUCCUAGGCAGUUACAAAAAGAUUCCUCUUAUUAAAUUCCUAAAUAAACCCUUUAAAAGUUUUGUUUUUAUUUCAGCAAAAUCACAUGUCAAAUUACCCCAAGCCCCACCCCAAACCCAUGGGUCUGUAUACUAACAACCCAAACUCACAAACUUCAAACCAUUAAUCAACGAGCAAUGAUGCUCAAAUGAACAGGGUUGUUAAUGUCAAAAGAUGCAGGGAGGGAAAAUAAAUAAGUUUUAGAGAACUUAAAUGAUUCAAUCAAAAACAACAACAAUUUGAAACCAAACGAGUGAAUCAAACAAAAAUAAUGAACAAUGACUUAAGAGAAUUUGACCCCAAUUAUAUUCUCAAAUGCAAUAUUGACUGGGGUAAGAAAAGAAACGAAAAUGACACAAAGGAUAAGAAACACGCACUAACUAACGGAGAAGCAUCUCUCAACAGACUUGUUGUCCUUGGCCUUGCAUGAGGUCGAUGGCCUUUGAAAUGAAUCGAAGUCCAUGCUAGUCACUCAUUCUCGAGGAGUAAAAUCGAGUGGCAUAAAAUUUGAACCAUUAUCGGCCCAGAAGCUUGAACUUGACAAGGGGGCAGGAUUAGGGUUCAUGGGACUUGAAUCUUUGAUCUGAGAUUCGACGAGCUAGGCUACGAUUCACGGGUAAAAGGUUGGAUUUUUGGGAUGGGGAGAUGGAGAGGGUUCUAGGGUGUGAAUUAUGGCCAGUUUGGUGGUGGCGCUGCCACCGGAGGAUGGUGGAAUCAUGUGGCGGCGCUAGGGUGGUAUGAGAGUAUCUGAGGAUGAAAUGAAUGAGAGAGAUGGGUUUGGGGG